CUUGUGGUGACAUGAGAGGCAGGGUAAACCCCAUCCGGAGCAAGGCCAAAUAGGGAGAUGUUCGAGGGCUGCCCGUCCGAAGUCUCCGGGUAGGCCGCAAGAGGCGGCGGGCGACCGUCGUCCCAGUUAAAUGAUCAUGACCGUUACGGUACAGAAUUCGGCUUAUAGCCCGCUCCUCUCA
rnacentral:RNase_P_RNA from 1 species